GAUCAUGGGCUCAGGAUGAACGCUAGCUACAGGCUUAACACAUGCAGGUCGAGGGGCAGCAUGGUCUUAGCUUGCUAAGGCCGAUGGCGACCGGCGCACGGGUGAGUAACACGUAUCCAACCUGCCGUCUACUCUUGGACAGCCUUCUGAAAGGAAGAUUAAUACAAGAUGGCAUCAUGAGUCCGCAUGUUCACAUGAUUAAAGGUAUUCCGGUAGACGAUGGGG
rnacentral:rRNA from 1 species